ensembl:snRNA U11 spliceosomal RNA
AAAAAGGGCUUCUGUGGUGAUUGACGCAGGGAGGCUGAGGGAGUCUCAUCCUCUGCGCGGAAUCGCCAUCAAGAGAUUUCGGAAGCAUCAUUUUUAAUUUUUAUUUUAAAAUAAUUUCCCUGCUGGGAUGAAUAAAGUA